rnacentral:rRNA from 1 species
AACGAACGCUGGCGGCGCGCCUAAUACAUGCAAGUCGAGCGAGAAGACGUAGCAAUACGUUUGUAAAGCGGCGAACGGGUGAGGAAUACAUGGGUAACCUACCCUCGAGUGGGGAAUAACUAGCCGAAAGGUUAGCUAAUACCGCGUACGCUCCUUGGACUUCGGUUCAGGGAGGAAAGCGAUACCGUGGGUAUCGCGCUCUUGGAUGGGCUCAUGUCCUAUCAGCUUGUUGGGAGGUAACGGCUCACCAAGGCUUCGACGGGUAGCUGGUCUGAGAGGACGAUCAGCCACACUGGCACUGCGACACGGGCCAGACUCCUACGGGAGGCAGCAGUAAGGAAUAUUGCGCAAUGGGCGAAAGCCUGACGCAGCGACGCCGCGUGGGGGAGUGAAGGUCUUCGGAUUGUAAACCCCCUUUACCGGGUAGGGGAAGAUGGAAGUGGGGUAACCCGACUUCGGACGGUACCUCCAGAAGCAGCCACGGCUAACUUCGUGCCAGCAGCCGCCGCGGUAAC